rnacentral:misc_RNA from 1 species
GAACUGCGAUAAGUAAUGUGAAUUGCAGAAUUCAGUGAAUCAUCGAGUCUUUGAACGCACAUUGCGCUCCCUGGCAUUCCGGGGGGCAUGCCUGUCCGAGCGUCAUUGCUGCCCUUCAAGCCCGGCUUGUGUGUUGGGUCGUCGUCCCCUCCGGGGGACGGGCCCGAAAGGCAGCGGCGGCACCGCGUCCGGUCCUCGAGCGUAUGGGGCUUUGUCACCCGCUCGAUAAGGACCGGCCGGGCGCCAGCCGGCGUCUCCAACCUUUUUUUCUCAGGUUGACCUCGGAUCAGGUAGGGAUACCCGCUGAACUUAAGC